AGUGAACGCUGACGGCGUGCCUAAUACAUGCAAGUCGAACGGAGUGGCGCACGGGUGAGUAAUAUAUAGCUAAUCUGCCCCUUCCUGGAGGACAACAGUUAGAAAUGACUGCUAAUACUCCAUAGCAAGGGAUGAGACUAUACUGUAUUAGCUAGUCGGUGGGGUAAUGGCCUACUGAGGCUGUGAUGGGUAACAGGUCUGAGAGGAUGAUCAGUAACAUUGGAACUGAGGCACGGUCCGAACUCCUGCGGGAAGCGGCAGUAGGGAAUAUUGCGCAAUGGGGGAAACCCAAACGCAGCAACGCAGCGUAGAAGAUGGCACUUUUCGGAGCGUAAACACGUUAUGUUAGGGAAGCGGUACCUAACGAAUAAGCACCGGCUAACUACGUGCCAGCAGCCGCGGUAAUUC
rnacentral:rRNA from 1 species